CAUUGAGAUAUAACUGGAAGAACAGAUUUUAGAGUCCCCUUGACAAGUCCUGCAGACUUAUCCUCGCGAAAGCAAGAUACGGAUCCCUUGAUUACGCCAGCACAGCAUCUUUUGCUUUUGAUAACAUCUUCCUGAUUUUGCUUUCUGGAAGUCACCCCCUUGGUCAGGAUUGGGUCCAAAUAACUUCUGAAGACUUUUCCAGCCCUGAGUCUCUGCGUUAUCAGAACAAAGAAAUGUUUUCCAGAGGCCCCAAGCAGACUUUUCUGGACAUCUCAUUGGCCUGGAAAGUGUCCUGUGCCCAUUUCUAAGAAUCACUGGCAAGAGUGAUGGAACAAUCACCAUGUUUCCCUUAGACAAGUCCAGACUGAGCCUAUGGGCAUCCCAAAGGUUCUGCCUCUUUGCCCAGCGCGUAUGAUUCAGCCGAGGGUGUUGUUGAAAUGCAGGCUCUGGCCCAGUAAGGCUGGGGUAGGGCCUGAGAUUCUGCCUUCCUAGCAAGCUCCGCCGAUGCCCGUGCAGCUGCUUUGUGGCCCACACUUAGAGCUGCAAGGCCCUGAUCUCUGCAAACUGGCGGGAAGGACACGCCCCCACUCGAAGCCCCUCUGCUGGCCCUUGGAGCAGUGUAUCCUGGAUUCAAAGGACCAGAAAAA
rnacentral:lncRNA from 1 species